UACGUAGGUGGCAAGCGUUGUCCGGAUUUACUGGGCGUAAAGGAUGCGUAGGCGGAAUGUUAAGUCAGAUGUGAAAUACCCGGGCUCAACCUGGGGGCUGCAUUUGAAACUGGCAAUCUAGAGUGUGGGAGAGGAAAGUAGAAUUCCUAGUGUAGCGGUGAAAUGCGUAGAUAUUAGGAAGAAUACCAGUGGCGAAGGCGACUUUCUGGACCAUAACUGACGCUGAGGCAUGAAAGCGUGGGGAGCAAACAGG
rnacentral:rRNA from 1 species